rnacentral:lncRNA from 1 species
GGGCUCUGAGCCCGGCUUUAGCCCCUGACGCAGGAGGUUUUAUUUCCCUCCAUACAUAUUUUUAGCCCUGCCUGCUCCGUCCUGGCCUUUCCGAGGGGGAUUAAUUCCCUCCCCCCCACAUGCCAACAUACACCAUUAAAGGUGUGGGGGUGCAGAGAGAGGUCCCCAGCUCCUUCCCGGGGAUGCCUGCCAGGGGGGCGGGGGCGAUGGCACCGGGGGUGUCUCCGCACCCCGUGAUGGGGAGUGCCACCACGGGCUGGCGGUGCUCACCCCAUCGCAAAUCCAAUCCCCGGCGGGUUGGAGCAAGUCACCAGUUAAAAAUAGCCCCGGCCUUUCGCCGAGGAGCCGGCGACCUUGCGGGAGGAUCGGCCGCCCCCGGGGGCUCUGGCGGUGAAGAGUUCACGGCCCCCCCCGCAGCCCCGGCGCCCUCGCUGCGCCUCGGACGUGGCCAGGGCUCAGCCUCCGCCCCGGCUCCCCGGGGGCUGGGGACACCCUUCCAGGACCCUCCACCUAGGGAUGGGGAAACUGAGGCACGGGGCAACAACAGGCUCUCCCGGAGAGCAAAGGGGGGACGAGCGUGUCCCCAAAGUGUCAGCAGUGCCCCGAGCGCUGAAGGACGGGACUGCUUUAACGGCAGCGGGGAGAGGGGGGGUGGUUCAUCCGCUUUCGGCAGCUCGGCAGAGCCUUCCUGGGGAGAUUCAAAGGCUGAGCCCGGCCGGGUCCUAUUUCGGGAGGAUUUUGGAUGCCUCCCAAGUGGCAGGAGUGGGGGCUGGCCCGGACAAAGGGACUCUGUUCGGGACGCUGGGCUCUGGCGGUGCCCGGCGCGGAGGCUGGUGGCUGUGGCUGGUGCCCUUGUCCCCUGCGUGACGAGUCAGUGCCCAGGGCUGGGGCACGGGGCGAACACCCCUCUCCCGCGCCGGGUGCUGCACCCACCUGGAGGUAAACUGAGGCACGGGGUGGGACUGUCCUCGCCUCCCGAACCAUCACUGUAACCGCUAAGUGACACUGCCGUACCGCGGAGACAGCCGUGCCAACCUGCCUCGUGACGUGGAGUCCACCAGCCACCCUCCCUGGGCCACCUGCCCAGGCUGGCCCCCAGCCAUGCCCCGGGGGAGUCCAAGGUCCCUGAGUGGGG